ACUCGUGAACUGUGGGGCUUAACCUCUCCCCCUGCAGAUCCGGGUGCGGGGUAACCCGUUUAACUGACACACAAGGAG
rnacentral:ncRNA from 1 species